CACGCGCAUCGUCCAUGGCGCCGGCCAUUUCCCGCGGUCCAGAAAAAAUCAAAAAAAAAGGGUUGUGGUUGCAUACACGCCAGGUGUGGCCCCUGGUCGCGCGUUAUAAAAAAGACAAAGACACGGACAGCGCACGGACGCCAAAGAGACCAGGGAAUAAGGGAAAAAGAAGGAAAAAAGACGAAAUUGGCAAUAGGGCGAUGGAGGAGAAUGAAAAAAGGUUGUUAUGACGAUACGGCGCCGGCACGGAUCCAUGCGAAAACACGAGGAUGGUUUCUGGCGAGGCGCGUGCAGACCG
rnacentral:lncRNA from 1 species